rnacentral:misc_RNA from 1 species
AUUGAGUUGUUGGUCUCCGUCAUUUAGGUAUAGAAGGAGGAAUACUGAAAUUAAUUUUUGUAAUCGCAAAUUUUCACGCUGUUUUAUUUUUUUUACUAAAAAGACUGAAAACAUUAUAUUAUUUUAUAUACACGUUACAACGGAUCUACAAAAAACAAGAGCCGACAAUUUAUGCAACUUUGAACGGCUGUAAUGCUUGAUUAUGACAGACGAAAAAUGUCAAGUUGUUUUCCAAACAAAUCAGAAAUACUGUUUAGCUGCAGCUGCGAAGAUUUAUAAAAAAAAUGUCUUCAACGAUGUAACAUAAUAACAGCCAUUGAUAUUAAAAUCAUAAUAAUUUGUUUAUUAUGAUACAAACACUUCGGUGGCAGGGCUAUCCGGUGAUGAUCUCACGACUGUAUCAGUACAUGUUGAAUUUUUCAUAGUGUUCUUUUUUGUUAAACUCUAAACUUGAGCAAUACUUAUUAUAUGUAUGUAAAUACGUAAGAAAAAACAAACACUCCAAACUGUGAUAUAUCUCCUAUAUUUUUGUUACAUAAAAGCUGCUUAGACAGUACAUUUAGUUAUCCAAAAAUACCUUUUUAUUAUUCAAAAUAAUUACACUUACGUGCUAUGAGCGAGAGCCAAUUCUUUUGCCCUCGGCUGAUCGACUAUUUAGCUAUUGUCGGAGCUCAUCCCAAUUCUUCAAAAAGAAGUUCUUUAUACGAGUUACAAAAUAAUGGAACCAACAAUGACGAAUACAGCGGAAUCAGUUCAACGGUAUCCAGUAAUGAUGACAACUUUUAUAUUCAGAACCCAGAAUUACUCCGACGGUAUCCUGCAGAAGACCAUAAAGAUUUUAUACUACCGGAAACGAUGUCAUAUUUUUGUCAACCAGAAGGAUGUGUUUCCUUCAAGCAUAGCCGAUCUGAAUCGAACAAAGUUACAUCGUUUGUAUUUACACUAACAGAUAAAGAUACAACCCGAACUAGGUACGGCGUGUGUGUAAAUUUUUACAGACGCGUUGGUCAAUGCUUUACAAAUACUUCAAAGAAUAUAAAUAUAAAUGAUGAGCAGUGUGUAAAGAAACCACAAAACAACCAUUCUUCGGUAUUUUUAAGAUGUCAUUCUACAACUUCUUUUGGCAAAUCAAUGUCUCAAGAACAUCCCACGGAUCAGACAAACGAUAAAGUUACACAAAAUAUCUCAUCACAGCCAGAAUCCCAAGAUUUAUAUUCUCUAACAUCGUUGUGUCUUCUUUCUCAUCAUCCAUUAUUUUCAAGUUUUCGUACAUGUUUGUUUUAUUUAAAAAGCCUUAUCGAUUCGUGCAAUAAAAAAAUCAAUCGCAGCAGAAAAGAAGGACAUAAGAGAAAAGAAUGUAUAUGGAGUUUAUUGACUGGAUUUUUAACUCAAGCAAAUUCACCGAGAAUUAUACAGUUUAUCAAAGAACUUGAAAUGUGGAUUUUACGUUUGCUCAGCACUCCAGUUCCUGUACCAGGAAAGACCAAAUUAGAAGUUUAUUUGUUUUCACAAAACGAGCGACAGCCACCACUGGCUUUCGCGUUACCCGAUCACACAAGAUUUUCACUAAUUGAUUUCCCUUUACACUUACCAUUAGAGUUGUUGGGAGUAGAUACGUGCCUUUACGUAUUAACUAUUAUUUUAUUAGAAAGUAAAGUUGUCUUCCAAUCGAAGGAUUAUAAUGCACUCACUAUGUCAGUAAUGGCUUUAGUGGCACUUAUGUAUCCCUUGCAAUACAUGUUUACUGUUAUACCAUUACUACCUACAAGCUUACCAAAAUCGGAAAUGCUAUUCGAGAGUCCUGUGCCUUAUGUUGUUGGAGUUCCGUCCAGUUUUUUUUCAACAAAACGAGAUUUCAGAUUUCCAAAAGACGUUUGGAUAGUAGAUUUGGAUUCAAAUAAAAUAACACCACCGAUAGUUGUUAACCGGGAAGAUGCUAUACCACAGUUACCCAAGUCUGAAGCGUCAACUUUGAAAAAUAAUUUGAAAUCUGCUUUAAAUGGACUUUCGCGAAUAAAUAUUUAUAAUAAAGCAACAAAUAGUUUUCCGGAACAUGAAAUUAUGUCAACAUCACGGCCUCCAAUAGAAUAUACAAGUACAGGUGAAGACAUCUCAAAAAGAAAAAUGGAAAGCUUUCAACUAAGUAGUAAUGUCGUAAACACUGAUAAUAGUACAAAUCGAGGAAACGAAAUAAGAAGACAAACGUCGAUGAAUACAGCGUACAAUACUGUCGAUAUCGAUUCAGUGGAUAUUGCAAUUAGAGUGGCUAUGGUUCGUUUCUUCUUGUCGGGUGACGUAUUGGCCAACCUAACAGAACAUUCACGAACACUGAGGCUCUACCCUAGACCUGUAGUAUUUUUUCAAAUAAAUUCUUUUCUAAAGAGCCGCCCUAACCCUUCACUUUUCACGUGUCAACUGGCUCGAACACAAGCAGUUGAUUAUUUUGCCGAAUGGGCAUUGACACCAAACAAUGUGGUUUUCCAACGGAUUCAAACAGGUGUUAACGACCCGUCUAUGAUUGGCGAUAAGCUUAAAUGGUUUGCAAAUACCUUAGAGCCAGUUAUAUUUACCGUAUGGCAAGAAAAUUGUUCGAUUCAAAACAUAAUGAAUAUAAAUGUAAAUUCUAACCAACCUUCUUCGGCGUUGGCUGAAAAGAGUCAUCAGUCUGAUAGUGGUGGUAGUGAUACCAGUAGCAGUGAAGACGAGAGACCAGAAAUUUAUCGCGAAGAUUUCAAACACAGUGUUGCUAGUGAAAAAAUUGUAAAAAUAGAAAGUCAAAGACUCAAUAUUGGACCAAUAAUACAAGGAGUACAUUCUGCUUAUGAACCACCAAUAACAUUACAAUUCCCAUUGACAUCAGAUGAUAGCCCAGACGAUGAUGGAACCAUAGAAUCAAUAGGCAGUAAAUCUAUUGGAUCAUCGCCGUCCAGUAGCCACAGUGACAUGAGCUCGCCCAUGUUUAAACCCGAAUCUUUAAUAGAUAUCGUUAGAUCUAGCCAAUUGCAACAAUCACCUUCACAGUUGGCUGCAACUGCUACGAGUAACAAACUUCUUCUAAGCAGACAUAACACAGGUGGUAGUGAUUCUGCUUUAAACCAUGUAGUUGUAGAACAAAAACCAAAUAGUAAUUUUAGACCUACAUCGCAAACAUCUACAUCAUCCGAAUUCUACCAAACAUUACCGGGGGCACUAGAAAAGAAACAAAAUAUAACGUCUAGUCCACCAUCGUCAAGAAAGGGAAGUAUAAAUAGCUUACACCAACAGUUGACAAGACAAUCCAGUCAAAAUAAUUCAAUAUUGGAACAUUUUGCUAUUCAAGCCAAAGAACUUGUCAGAGAAACAGCCAGGCAAAGUAGUCAAGAAGGAGCUGGAGGAAUACUAGCGCAUGUAGCAGACAAAUUGACCACUCAAGCAAAAAAAGCUGCAGGUGAAGCUACAAAAUCUGUGCACGAAGCUAGUAAAACUGCAUUUGAAGCCAGUAAAACAGCGGCUGGUGUCAGUAAAAACACUUUUGAUGAUUUAACAUAUGUUGGAAAAAGUACAAUCGGUGACCUCACUAAAAGUGCAAAACAAGUAGCGUCUAAAAAAGGAUUUAAGGUAGGAUUAUUAGGUGAAUCAACGUCUCUAAGCUCACAACAGCUGAGUUUUGAUGAUGAAAUAAAUGACAACAAUCCAUCAACUAAUCCAAUAUCAACUAGUUCUAUUUCGGAAAUUAGAAAAUCGUCAGUGACAUCGAUGGGAACUGGUGCCACAAAAGAUUUUUUUUCAAAUAUAUCAAACGAUAUAAAUGGAUUGGCAAAUCAAACUACAAGCAUGUUUACUGAUUUAUUUGGUGGUAAUAAACAACAAAAAAAUAGUAAGUCAUCGCUCACGUUGCCAGUAACUAAAACUAAAGAACGAACUUCCUCUGGACCUUUCCCGACAAAAGCCGGGCGUAAUGAUUUAGUUGAAAAAUCUAGUUUAAUUCGUCACUCAAAUCCGAGAAAACUAAGUGAUACGACAAAAAUACCAAACAAAAAAUCAGUUAAACCAAAUAGUCACAUGGAUAAUGAAACGUUUCUAAAGGAUGUAACAAAACAAAUUCUUGAUGGAGAUGGGAUAGGUUGGCUCAAGCUCAGUAGAUUCAAAAAGUUAAUGGAAGAAGAGGGAUACCGGAAUUUAGUUGUCAGUAAACUUAACCGCACACUGGAUAAUAAAAUUAGUCCAAGUGAUCAUAUUGAUGAUGUGUAUAUAAACAGAUUUGUUUGGAAAGGAAUGCUUAAAGCCUUAUUAGCAAUUAUUCAUGGAUUAGAAGUAUCUUUUGGCAAUCAAUGUGGAGGUGGAUUAGCAUCUGCAUUCCAAGUACUAGAAAUAGCUCAUACUCAUUAUUGGGCUAAAGACAUAUCUAUGACUGGUUUCGAAUCUCAAAUGUCCAGUCCAUAUAGUAGCCGUGAAAAUGUACAAUCACCACUACAAAGUCCAAGUAUUGCUGGUUCACCAAUGUCAAGUGUUUAUCAAACAUCUAGGAAAUCAUCUCAAACCAGUACAUCUGGAUUAUCUGAAUGUAAAAAUAGUGGAGCUGGAAAAUUUUCACACGAAUUUUCAUUAGCUGAUGACGGAGAAGGAUCGACUUCUAAUGUUUCUUUAAAUGAAACGUUCAAUGAGUUAAUGAAUAUCGAAAACAAUAAGCAAGAACAAAUUUCAACAAACCCUUUCUUGGAAAAUGAAGGAGAAGGAUCAUCCAUUGGGCCUAUAGUAGUAUCAGAUGAAUCCAGUUGUAACAGUAGUACAGUACUAGUCAACAAUCCGUCGUUUUAUUUGAAACGGAUGACAAGUAAUAAUUGCAGAAACAAUGCAUCAUUCUUUCGAAGUGCUGUAUCGGACAGCGAACUUGAUAAUACAGGACUUUUCAAGACGAAUAAUAAGAAUCGUACUCAAAGUAUUUGGUCUAGUAAAUCAUCACUAAGCGCUGGAUUUCGAUACCACGGAGGUAAUUUGUUGAACACCGCAUCUGGAUCACCUAGCCCAGAAUCAGGACGUACUUAUUUGUUUGAAGGUAUACUGGGAAAAGAACGGAGUACAAUUUGGAACCAAUUAAAAUUUUGGGAAGAUGUAUUUAUUGAUGCUGUCAGUCAAGAGAGAGACAUGAUAGGCAUGGAUCAAGGACCAGUAGAAAUGAUGGAAAGGUAUAAAAAUCUAAACCAAAGUGAACGGAAACGCCUAGAAUACGAUGAAGAUAAGCUCCUAUCCAUAAUGAUAUACAAUUUAAUUGCAUUUAUGAUCAUGGUAAACGUUCCUAAAGAAAGUAUUAUGAAAAUCGUUAGGACUUUAGUCGGGAAAAGUAGAGUGACAAAUUGUUACGCGACUGAAAUAACGAGCCUCAUGUCUCAACUAUCCAAUUUAAAUGGAAAUGAUGUCGAUUUGAAGCCAUCAAAUUCAAGACAGGCACAUAGACAAAGCUUUGCUGUACACUGUGGUGAUUCAACUGGGGAAUUGUUGUUCUUAGAAGUUAGAGACGACGGACUAGUUUUAAGAUCAGUGAGCGGAGUGAUUGUCAGUAGAUGGUGGUAUGAACGCAUUGUAAACAUGACUUACAGCCCUAGAAGUAAAAUAUUUUGUCUUUGGAGAACCGCCAACGGUGGACAACUUCAACUGAACAAAUAUUAUACAAAAAAAUGCAAAGAUUUAUAUACUCGUAUCAAGCAUUCCAUGGAAAAAGCCGCUGAGAGAGGACAAGGUAUCAUUCCUGGAGUUGAAUUAGGAGGCGAGUUUCCUGUUAAGGACAUGGCAACUGGGGAAGGUGGUAUACUUCAAGUUUGCAUGGAAGGUGUUGGUUUAUUAUUCGCUGAUAGUAAGUUUUUCGUUCGACUUGAUCACGUGCGAAAGUGUUUUACAGUGCAGAAAAAAAUAUUUGUUUUGGAAGAAUACAAUCCGAAAUUGAAGCAUAUUAUUCAAAGGCAAUACGAAUCACCUAUGGCUAGCGAAAUGUUAUUGUCUUUGCACCGCAUCAUGUCUAUUGUAUAUACGCAAACAUUGAUGCUGAGAACAAUGAAAGUCACGGAGAGCUAAAUUAUUAUUAUAAUAUAAACUGGAAUGUUCUUGUUUGUCACUCCCACAUUAAGGCUGGACAAAUUUGUUAUGCAGUAUUAUGUGUGUUUUCGUAUAUUGCUGCUGGUCAUAAACGGACAAUUAGUCAAACUUAUAAAGACAAAACACAACGAAAAUUGUCAACAUACUCAGCCGAAUCAAGUGAAAAA